rnacentral:lncRNA from 1 species
AGUCGUCCGUCGCCCACGUGGCAGACCACCAGGUUCCAAAAACAAACCAAAACCACAAGUUUACGUCACACGCGACACUGAGCCUCCUAUGAGUCCUUACAUCCUCGAAGUACCUUCGGGAAACGACGUCGUUGAAGCCAUCAACCGCUUCUGCCGCAGAAAAUCCAUCGGCGUUUGCGUUCUCAGCGGCUCUGGCUCCGUCGCCAACAUCACCUUACGUCAGCCUUCUCCCGCAGCUCCUGGCUCAACUAUAACUUUCCACGGAAAGUUCGAUCUCCUCUCCGUCUCCCCUAAUACCUUCUCACUCUGUUUUGUUUUGUGUUUUUUUUUUCUUUGCUACACUCAUGGUGAUUACUUCCGAUCAUCUCCAAUAGAACACUAUUUUUUCUUUUAUAAUAGAGUUACUCUAUUUUAUUGUUAUAGAGGAUAAAAUAGUAUUCCAUUGGAGAUGAUCUAACAAAAUUUUGAUAUAUAUAUAUAAAUCAAAACAAAUAUUAACACGAUUGUACGGAUCGAGAUCUAGUAUAAUGUUAAUUCUACAUUUCUCGUGACAAUUCAACAGUUUUAAAACAAAUAUAGUACAUUAAUCAUGAAGGAGAAGAAAAUAACAAAUAACAGAUUAUUAUCUCAGCUCUGAAGAAAAUUGUUACGCAGUCAAAUAUCAACCAUAGCUGGAGUUAAAAGCAGGGCCGAAACUAAGCACAGCCACUUGAAACAUUGGUCAUGGCCUCUAAAAUUUUGAAAAGUUUUUUAUACAGACAUAGGCUUCUAAGUUAAGCAAAAAAAAUUUAUAAAAAUUCUUACAAAAAUGUUUUAAACUCCCGGAAUUUCAGAUCCCGUCUCCAAACACAGUUCUUAGGAUUACUUAUCGUGAGAUGCGUAACAUCAUUUUAUAAAACACAGAGGCAUGUAUGCUUAAAUCUCUGUUAAUCUCUCUGAAAUGUUUUCUUGUUUUUCUUUUUUUCCUUGGACUUGUUUCUUAAGGAUUACAACACUGUGAUUUCCUCUUUUCGGUUUAUAUGAUAUUAAUGUUUUAGCAAAAAAGAAAAGAGAUAACAGAUUACUAAAGAGUAAAAAUGAGGCGACCAAGGGAUAUAUGAAAGAGACAGAGCUGGUUCUUAGAAUGCUCCAGAUUUGGGAUAUGGGGGAUGUCUCUAUCUCUUUCUCAUCCCCACUUGUCUCCAAUCUUUUUUCUAUCUAGCAUUCAAAUCAAUUUCCAAAUCUUACUAAUCCAUGACUCAGACCAGAAAAAUAUUUUUUUCCUACUUAUCAUAUUUAAAUAAUCUAAUUUUUUUUUAUUUUCUCGGCAUAUGUAACAUUUUAAGCAGAUUCAUAUAUCUACUUAGAAAGUUUAACAAUAUUUUAAAUUAAAGUUGAAAAUAUAUUUAUACGAAAAGAGAAAGUGUGAACCCACAAACAUGGCACAGAAUCAAACAUAUAUAUCUUCGCUUUUAAUUCUCAGCUAGCGGCGCCGCUCUCUCUUUUCUUGCUUUCAAAGCUCAUCUUCCUUCUUCCCUAUCCUCUCAUUUUCCUCUUUCAUUUUUAUUUAUAUAUUACCAAAAGAGAAUACUUUUCCAUUUUAUAAUUUCUCCUUACCACAGUUGGAUUACGAAAGGUCCUCCCCUCCUCCAUAUCUUUCCAUUUUAUACAACCCAUACCAACCUCUUCAUACUCUUCUUCCUCCUUUUUAAUCAUUUACAUAAAAAUCCAAACCAAAAACUUGUAAUAAACAAAUCAUAAAAGAAAAGAAAAGAAAAAAAAUGAAAGGUGAAGGUAACGAGAUGUUUCCAAAGCUCCCUCAAAACCACUCACUCUCCUCUCACUUCCACCUCCCAGCAACCAUCGCCGUCGAUGACUCCUCCAUCGAAGUCGUCCGUCGCCCACGUGGCAGACCACCAGGUUCCAAAAACAAACCAAAACCACAAGUUUACGUCACACGCGACACUGAGCCUCCUAUGAGUCCUUACAUCCUCGAAGUACCUUCGGGAAACGAUGUCGUUGAAGCCAUCAACCGCUUCUGCCGCAGAAAAUCCAUCGGCGUGUGCGUUCUCAGCGGCUCUGGCUCCGUCGCCAACAUCACCUUACGUCAGCCUUCUCCCGC